GUCCUGGUGGCUCAGUUGGUUAGAGCGCUAGAGUACGAAUCCAGAAGCCGUGAGUUCAAGUCUCACCCAAGGCA